ACUCCUACGGGAGGCAGCGGUGAGGAAUAUUGGACAAUGGGCGCAAGCCUGAUCCAGCCAUGCCGCGUGCAGGAUGACGGUCCUAUGGAUUGUAAACUGCUUUUGUACAGGAAGAAACACUGGUUCGUGAACCAGCUUGACGGUACUGUAAGAAUAAGGAUCGGCUAACUCCGUGCCAGCAGCCGCGGUAAUAC
rnacentral:rRNA from 1 species